rnacentral:rRNA from 1 species
GUACACAAAAGCGCAUGUGCUGUGAGCUCGAUGAGUAGGGCGGGACACGUGGUAUCCUGUCUGAAUAUGGGGGGACCAUCCUCCAAGGCUAAAUACUCCUGACUGACCGAUAGUGAACCAGUACCGUGAGGGAAAGGCGAAAAGAACCCCGGCGAGGGGAGUGAAAAAGAACCUGAAACCGUGUACGUACAAGCAGUGGGAGCCCCACCACCAAAGCAUUCUCUGGUGUUGAAGGCCCUGCAAAGCAGCAUCGCGGUGGCGGAGCGUCGUUUGCGACGCCCAACACACAAAACAAGCGGUGAGUGCUUUGGGGUGGGGUGACUGCGUACCUUUUGUAUAAUGGGUCAGCGACUUAUAUUCUGUAGCAAGGUUAACCGAAUAGGGGAGCCGGAGGGAAACCGAGUCUUAAUUGGGCGUUAAGUUGCAGGGUAUAGACCCGAAACCCGGUGAUCUAGCCAUGGGCAGGUUGAAGGUUGGGUAACACUAACUGGAGGACCGAACCGACUAAUGUUGAAAAAUUAGCGGAUGACCUGUGGCUGGGGGUGAAAGGCCAAUCAAACCGGGAGAUAGCUGGUUCUCCCCGAAAGCUAUUUAGGUAGCGCCUCGUGAAUUCAUCUCCGGGGGUAGAGCACUGUUUCGGCUAGGGGGCCAUCCCGGCUUACCAACCCGAUGCAAACUGCGAAUACCGGAGAAUGUUAUCACGGGAGACACACGGCGGGUGCUAACGUCCGUCGUGAAGAGGGAAACAACCCAGACCGCCAGCUAAGGUCCCAAAGUCAUGGUUAAGUGGGAAACGAUGUGGGAAGGCCCAGACAGCCAGGAUGUUGGCUUAGAAGCAGCCAUCAUUUAAAGAAAGCGUAAUAGCUCACUGGUCGAGUCGGCCUGCGCGGAAGAUGUAACGGGGCUAAACCAU